UGAGUACGAGACGCUAAGGCGUCGAAGUAGUGUAUGUCAUACUUCCAAGAAAAGCUUGCACUGUCAUUCAUAAAAAAUGCCUGUACCAUAACCGACACAGGUGGGUAGGUAGAGUAUACUAAGGGGCGCGAGAUAACUCUCUCUAAGGAACUCGGCAAAAUAACUCCGUAACUUCGGGAGAAGGAGUGCCUUAUUUAUAUAAGGUUGCAAUAACAAGAUCCAAGCAACUGUUUACCAAAAACACAGGUCUCCGCUAAGUCGCAAGACGAUGUAUGGGGGCUGACGCCUGCCCAGUGCCAGAAGGUUAAAGAAGUUGGUUAGCAAUAGCGAAGCUAGCAACUGAAGCCCUGGUGAACGGCGGCCGUAACUAUAACGGUCCUAAGGUAGCGAAAUUCCUUGUCGGGUAAGUUCCGACCCGCACGAAAGGCGUAAUGAUUUGGAUACUGUCUCGGAGAGGGACUCGGUGAAAUAGACUUGUCUGUGAAGAUGCGGACUACCUGCACCAGGACAGAAAGACCCUAUGAAGCUUUACUGUAACUUGAAAUUGAAAUUGGACUUUAUUCGCGCAGUAUAGGUGGGAGGCAUUGAAAAUAAUCUUGCGGGAAUAUUGGAGCCAUCAGUGAGAUACCACUCUUGUAAUGUUAGAUUUCUAACUUUGAAUCAUUAUCUGGUCAAAGAACAGUUUCAGGCGGGCAGUUUGACUGGGGCGGUCGCCUCCCAAAUGGUAACGGAGGCGUACAAAGGUUUCCUCUGAACGGGUAGAAAUCGUAUCUAGAGUGUAAAGGCAAAAGGAAGCUUGACUGUGAGACCUACAAGUCGAGCAGGGACGAAAGUCGGUCUUAGUGAUCUGACGGUACUGAGUGGAAAGGCCGUCACUCAACGGAUAAAAGUCACUCUAGGGAUAACAGGCUGAUCUCCCCCAAGAGUUCACAUCGACGGGGAGGUUUGGCACCUCGAUGUCGGCUCAUCGCAUCCUGGGGCGGUAGUACGUCCCAAGGGUUGGGCUGUUCGCCCAUGAAAGCGGUACGCGAGCUGGGUUCAGAACGUCGUGAGACAGUUCGGUCCAUAUCCGGUGUAGGCGUUAGAAUAUUGAGAGGAGCCUUCUUUAGUACGAGAGGACCGAGAAGGACAUACCUCUGGUGUACCAGUUAUCGUGCCAACGGUAAACGCUGAGUAGCUAUGUAUGGAGUGGAUAACCGCUGAAAGCAUCUAAGUGGGAAGCCCACCUCAAGAUGAGUAUGCUC
rnacentral:rRNA from 1 species